rnacentral:sRNA from 1 species
CAGCAGGAGGUGGCAGAGACUGUCUUCGACACCAUCAAUGCUGAGACAGACCGGCUGGAGGCUCGCAAGAAAGCCAAGAACAAGCAGCUGGGCCAUGAGGAAGACUACGCCCUGGGCAAGGACUGCAUCAUGCACGGCUACAUGUCCAAGAUGGGCAACCCCUUCCUGACCCAGUGGCAGCGGCGGUACUUCUACCUGUUCCCCAACCGCCUCGAGUGGCGGGGCGAGGGCGAGGCCCCGGUAAGGAGCCCGUGCGGGGGUCCGGGAGCCGGGCUUCCGGGUAGCUGGCCGGCCCGGCUCUUACCUGCACCACCCAUCCCUGGCCCUGCAGCAGAGCCUGCUGACCAUGGAGGAGAUCCAGUCGGUGGAGGAGACGCAGAUCAAGGAGCGCAAGUGCCUGCUCCUCAAGAUCCGCGGUGGGAAACAGUUCGUUUUGCAGUGCGAUAGCGACCCUGAGCUGGUGCAGUGGAAGAAGGAGCUGCGCGACGCCUACCGCGAGGCCCAGCAGCUGGUGCAGCGGGUGCCCAAGAUGAAGAACAAGCCGCGCUCGCCCGUGGUGGAGCUGAGCAAGGUGCCGCUGGUCCAGCGCGGCAGUGCCAACGGUCUCUGACCGCCCGCCCGCCUUUUAUAAACCUCUAAUUUAUUUUGUCGAAUUUUUAUUAUUUGUUUUCCCGCCAAGCGGAAAAGGUUUUAUUUUGUAAUUAUUGUGAUUUCCUGUGGCCCCAGCCUGGCCCAGCUCCCCCGGGAGGG